CUCGAUAAUAAAGGGUACCUAGGUCGCACCCUGGCAGGGGAGCACUCGAGGGCCGCGAGGUCCCGGGUUUCGCCAUCCUGAGACCCCCGCGCGGAUGGCCCAGGAGGGGCGCGGCGGCCCUGAGUCAAGCUGAACAAGCCCUAUUUCCUGAGUCGCAGGAGCAAUGACAAGGACAUUGCCUUUCCUGUUGAGAGCUGAGUCAACAAUUUUGUUUGCAUUUAACAAAGACGGAAUCACUUCAAGUCUAAUUUUCUCUGUAUACUAGGGAGUUAGCACAUCAAUGCAUUCAUCAACUACAGUUUCAUUUUUAGAGGAAGCAGCAAAAUACCCAGGAAUCUACUUGUUCUGAAAGCUGGACUGGCUUGAAUAAGGCUCUAUGGCAAUUUCUUGGAGGACCUAUCAAGAUUCCUAUAAAAAUUCACUCAAAACUGAC